UUCUCCUCUCUUCUACAAACCCUAGUUGCUCCACUCAAAUCCCAGUCCCAAUUCGAUAAUCACAUGGAAAUCUUCCAUGAUUCCUUUCCUUUCUUGCACACACGGAGACGCUUACCAUCUCUUAAACAUUACAAUCAUUUGGUACUCGAUUAUUUAUGGAAAAUGAAUCACCGAUGUUCGUUCAACUCCGAUUAUGUAUUAUCUUCAUGUUUCUGACCUGAUACACUCACUUCCAGAUCUUAUUAGUCCGAGUAAUUGAGACAUUUUUACUAUUUUUGUUCUUCUUUUCAAACUAGGGUUUGCCUAAUUCUUCUUAAAUUGAUUCUAAUUGAUUUUGCAUGCUAUUCUUUCCUGUUUUAUGUUUAAUUGAUUGUUUUUCCUUGUUUGUGUGUUUAAUUUUGCUACUAUAUAAAUUCCCUCCUCAGUUUUCACUUUGGACAAAUUUUAAUCACCUUAAGAACGAUUCUCUCACAUUAAUUUAUUCUGUACUAUUCUGAAAUUGAGCUCUUGGCCGCCAAAAGCCAAGGCCACCAGAUUUUGUUCACCUUCCUCCAGUGAAAGCAUUGCUCGGAGUCCAUUUUGAGUCUCUUAUUAACUUUGAAGCACUGGGGAGUUGAGGUUUUACUGGUCUGUAAAAAUCACAUCUAUUAUUGAUGUUUUCGAGUUCUUUAUCCUUUGUUUAGUUUGUCUGCAACUGGUUAGUGCACUAUACUUUGACACUUCUUCUUCUUUUUAUUUAUGUUUGUGUUAUGUGCAUUACUGCUAUUUGGAUUUCCCAGAGUUAAUUUUAAUUUUAUGACCCUCGUAUACAAUUUUGCUUGUUUUAGUUCUACUUUGUAGUUCCCCUAGCUUUAAUUAUAUGGGAGUUCUGAUUUUAACUCACUUGUGGAUAGCUAUGUUGAUUCAUGAUGCCUGCCUGACUCGUAAUUGAAACCUCAUUGAUGGUUGUGGAACCUUGUUUUGAUUUCUUAUANNNNNNNNNNNNNNNNNNNNNNNNNNNNNNNNNNNNNNNNNNNNNNNNNNNNNNNNNNNNNNNNNNNCCCUGAUGAAACUAUCUUCCUUCUCAAAUUGCAUUCUUCACGUUGAAUCCUUUAUGCAUAAUUUGCUAUAUAUCUGCAAAUCUAUCAAUAUAUUUAGCCUAAUAUGCUAGCCUUAAUGCGUUCUCAUUAUGUGUGUCCAACUUGAAUAAUUUCUAAUCAUCAUGUUUAUGAAUAGUUGGUUGCUUAUACCUGUUGCUUAUUCUAUGUUGGUUCAUUGCCUUGUUUUGCACUUUUAUGAUAACCAACUCAUGCCUAGAAUGUGUUCUAAUUCAUGUUGAGAUAUUCAUGCCCAACUCUUUAUCUUUCUGGAGCUCUACUAUUAGCUAUGACUUUUUCUCAUGCCUUUGUAAUUGUAUCAUGUG
rnacentral:lncRNA from 1 species